GUCCUUAUGUAUUUUUCUAUUGCAACAUGUUGGUAUAAGGAUGGUUUUAAGGCCAUACUUGAAAGAGGCUUUGAAUUUCAACCACCUCGGAGAAGACUCUAAUUUCCCUUUAUGGAAGAAUCAAGAUAAGAUGUCCUUCAGUAUUGAAUAUCUCCUGUUAAUUUUGUUUGGUUUUUUUUUGUAAACACGGGGAGGCAGGGUUUUUUCUUCUGAGGUUUUUCCCUGAGCUCUUGUAUCAUACGCAGAAUUGUAUGGUUCCCCGUUGCACUAACCUCAGCUAAAUAUUAACAUGAAUAAAGAAGCAUGUUAAUCAAA